CUAAGCUGCUACGGACACGGCCUGUGCCGGGAAGGAAGGAAACCCCCAGGCGGAAUUCAGCAGACACCAGAUGGAUGAGCCUGAAUGGGUCCUAAAUCUCUCGGAGACUCUUACCUUCUGAACGGGGAAAAUCAAGCAAGGGAAAGGAGAAAAUUCGUCAGUUCUUCCUGGUAUUCACAUAAAUGCACUAGAACGCUCUCUGGGUCCUCAAGGAGAAACUUCAAGAAGGAGACGUGCUGAAGCAAAGCCAAGGGGGAGUGUCUAUGUCUCUGAACUUGUUCUGGCCCCUUGCCUCUGUCCUGCCUGGGUGACGUCAGAGUCUCUCUGUGAGGUCACCGCCUCCCCACCGGCUUCGACCCGAGGUCCUGCCAAAGACCUUUGUGAUGUCACUGCCACCCCCGCUCCUCCACU